GCUGCAGUGGUGUAAUGGUUAGCAUUUCUGCCUAGUAAGCAAAAUGAUCUGGGUUCGAGUCCCUGCUGUGGCA